rnacentral:rRNA from 1 species
UGGGGAAUAUUGCACAAUGGGCGCAAGCCUGAUGCAGCAACGCCGCGUGAGGGACGACGGCCUUCGGGUUGUAAACCUCUUUUAGUAGGGAAGAAGCGAAAGUGACGGUACCUGCAGAAAAAGCACCGGCUAACUACGUGCCAGCAGCCGCGGUAAUACGUAGGGUGCGAGCGUUGUCCGGAAUUAUUGGGCGUAAAGAGCUCGUAGGCGGUCUGUCGCGUCUGCUGUGAAAACCCGAGGCUCAACCUCGGGCCUGCAGUGGGUACGGGCAGACUAGAGUGCGGUAGGGGAGAAUGGAAUUCCUGGUGUAGCGGUGGAAUGCGCAGAUAUCAGGAGGAACACCGAUGGCGAAGGCAGUUCUCUGGGCCGUAACUGACGCUGAGGAGCGAAAGCGUGGGGAGCGAACAGGAUUAGAUACCCUGGUAGUCCACGCCGUAAAACGUUGGGCGCUAGAUGUGGGGACCAUUCCACGGUUUCCGUGUCGCAGCUAACGCAUUAAGCGCCCCGCCUGGGGAGUACGGCCGCAAGGCUAAAACUCAAAUGAAUUGACGGGGUCAUAGCUGUUUCCU